AACACAAAUGUUGAACAUUGGCUAAAUUGCCCAAGCAGCUUCAUAUGACAGUUGGAGAGGCAGCAGGUAGAGUGGACAGUGACGGACUUUGGAACCUGGCAGACUGGAUCGCAUGCCUCUCUCCAAGUGCACUGUGUGAGCCUCUGGCUCCUUAUUGAUAAGAUGGACAUGAUCACAACCACUUUAUAGAAUUAGUGUGAGGACUAAUUGAGAGAGUAAUAUGUUAGACCUUUGCUGCACGGUGGGAGCUCAACAAAUGGUUGUUGUAAUAGUCAUCAUCAUCGUCACUAUCAUCAUGUUUCAUCCUUAGUGUUCUGCGCCAGCUCCUGCCUGAGAUUUCUAGCCUGCUGGGCUGCCCUGAGGAUUUCUGACUUGCCAGCCCCAUAAUCACGUAAGCCAAUUCCUUAAGAGGCUGUCCCUGCCUCACUCGAGGCCCUGGAGUGCCUCGUCCACAGAAGUUACAUUGCUGGGGAAGUCCAGACCUCUCCAAGCCCCCUCACCCCUGUCACCCCCACUGAUGGUCUUGAGACCUAUGAGGAGAAUCAGACCCCAGCAGUCACGGGGGCCAAAUGCAAAGUCAAAGUUUACGUUUGGAAGAACAGGCAUCUAUAUUAAAAGAAUUGCCAGAAUUUGCUAAUUCGUGCCAGAAAGAAGCCUGGAGGUGUGUAUGGGAGUUAAUUCUGAAGAUGCUGGACCAGGGAGGGAGGAGCGUUAUGUGGCCAGGGCUGCGUUUGUCAGCAGUCGUGCUCCGACAGAGUCCGUGCUCAACUGGCUCUCUUGAGCAGGUGGUUGCUGUUCUAAUUACUCUUUCUAAUUGAUUGAUUAACUUCAUCCUGGAUUUAAUGGCAGCCAACAUAAAAUGGAGUUCCGGAAGUUCCAUGGCGUAAUGGAGAAUAGCAGCUCGCCAGCCUGGCUGCACAUCAGAAUCACCAAGGGCCUUUCAAAACACUGAUGCACCCCAGACCGAUCAAAUCAGAGUAUCUGCGGAUAGGGCCUGGCAUCAGUGUAUUUUCAAAGUUCCUCAGGUGAUUAAAAUGUAUCCCCCAGGUUCUGAAGCUCUGAUGUAGAGGAAGGAGCUGUCAACAUGGACUGGAUUAAUUCUAUGAGAUCCGCUUACCCACCCCCUAACUAGGUCCUUGAAAGGGCCCUGAAGACUCUCUCUUUGCCAAAGUAUUGAGAAGUACAUUGACAAGAAAAGAAUCAGAGUCUUUGUGAGGUGCUGUUGUAGCUUUUACCCGAAGGUCAGAGGUGCUGAUGGGAAAGAGUGCAUUAAAACAGGUUCCCUGACAUCACUGCGGGUUGUAGGGAUGCAGAGUGGCUGAGGCCAAGUGGUGACACCAGCUUCUAGAAGAUGAUUCAGGGCCACGGCAGUCAGCAGAGAGGCUGGGGUGGCUCUCCGAACAGUCUGACCACAGAGCUUUUUGGAGGAGUCAGGGCAUCACUGAGUCCUUAAGACUAAAAUAGGCUGGCCGUUAACUAUGGUCCUACUUAUAACCCAAAACCUCCAAUUUGGCCAAGUGCAGCUUAACUUGAGCCACCAGAGCAGUUUCCAGAUCUGAGUUAUUCAGAAGACCCAGGGCCCUUGAUAACAUGGUAAUAUUGAACGUAUGCACAUUAUGUCAUAUACCUAGCCUGGGAUAAACUGGCUUCUUCCAGUCACCCUGGAUAGCUUAGUGAGAGAGAUACCAACCCCACUAAUCCACUCUUGCCAGAAAGUGUCCCUUCCUCCCCAAUUUGAGAGGCUCUUUCUGCCUUCCCUGAGGCCCUGUAAUGAUGUCACUGAAAGAAGUCACUUCCAUGAGGAAACCCAAAUCUCUUCAAGUUCCUCCACUCCCCACCAUCACCACUUCCCACAGGGCCCUUGGCCACUCCCCAGGGUGACUAUGUUCUGGGGAAAGGGAAGUCAUCAGACCAUUUGAGAAGAAUUGGACGUCUGCUCUGAGGGACCCGGGACUCCCUGUUGGUCCUUU
rnacentral:lncRNA from 1 species